rnacentral:lncRNA from 1 species
AUUAUAGAGUACGUUCUGUUGUUAAUCACAAUGAUUUGGUACGUAAAAGCAAGGAAUAUAAGAAUAUACUGAAAAAACAAUUUUGUGAAUUUCAAAAGGCGUUUAUAGGUAAACUCAGAGGUCUGCGUACCUCAGAUCCUAAAUCAUAUUGGUCACUACUAAAUAAAGGUUGUGAAAAAGGUAAAGCUACUCAGCAAAAAGUAGCUAUGAAUGUAUUUUUUGAUCAUUUUAAAAAUUUAAACAAUGUUGUAAAUGAUAUUGAUAUUGUUUUACCAGAUAAUGUUACAGAAUAUAAUACUGUUAUUAAUGAGCCUAUAAGUGAAAAAGAUGUGUUAGAUGCUAUAAAAACAUUAAAGAACGAUAAAGCUUGUAGUAAUGAUAUGAUAUUAAAUGAAUUUUUGAAACAUGGAGCUGUCAAAUUAUUGCCUGUUUAUGUCAAGAUUUUUAAUAUUAUUUUUGAAAGUGGUAUUGUACCAGAUUCUUGGUCUCAAGGUUUUAUAUGUCCAAUAUACAAAAGCAAAGGUGACCCCGCAAGUGCGGACAAUUAUAGAGGUAUCACUAUACUUAGUUGUUAUGGAAAACUAUUUACAUGUAUUCUUAAUAACAGAUUAUUCAAUUACCUUGAAUGUUUGGGUUUAUUAUGUGAAGAGCAAGCUGGUUUUCGGAAAGGCUAUGGUACUGUUGACCAUAUUUUUAACUUAAAAUGUCUUAUUGAUAUGUAUUUAUUUAGAAGGAAAAAACUGUACUGUGCUUUUGUAGAUUAUCGAAAAGCUUUUGAUUCUGUAAACAGGGUAUUAUUAUGGCAAAAACUGUUACGUAAUGGUAUUGACGGUAAAAUGCUUAUUAUUGUACAAAACUUGUAUAAAAAUGCUAAGUCUUGUGUUAGAUCUGGUAGCAACUUUUCAGAAUUUUUUGCCUCCAAUGUAGGAGUUAGACAAGGUGAGAAUCUCUCACCUUUAUUGUUCUCAAUUUUUCUAAAUGAUUUGACAGAUUUUUUGUCACAUGCUUAUAAUGGUCUCUCUGAUAUAUGUAAUAUGUCUCAUUUAUUAUUUGAUAAUGAUGAUAUUGAAGUUUUCUUUAAAUUGUAUUUGUUAUUAUAUGCUGAUGAUACUGUUAUAUUUGCUGAGUCUGCUACUGAAUUACAAUCUGCAUUAAAUGCCAUGUACUUGUAUUGUGAAACAUGGAAGCUUAGUGUUAAUGUAGCCAAAACCAAUAUUGUGAUAUUUUCAAAAAACAGACAGGGUGAAAACACUCAAUUUUUCUAUAACAAUGAACCAAUAGCUGUGUUAGAUGAUUUUCUAUAUUUGGGUACAGUUUUUUCUAGAAAAGGUACUUUUCACAAUAAUAAGGCUAGACUUGUACAACAAGCUAGAAAAGCUAUGUUCUAUGUUUUAUGUAAAGCGAGAAAGCUUAGUUUGCCAAUAGAUAUUUUGUUACAAUUAUUUGAUGCAAUGGUGGCACCUAUUUUGUUAUAUGGUGCAGAAGUAUGGGGUUAUGAAAAUAAUGACAUUAUUGAGUCUUUGCAUCUAGAAUUUUGCAAGUAUAUAUUAAAGGUUAAAAAAUGUACGCCAAAUUAUAUUGUAUAUGGCGAACUUGGUAGAACACCCAUGUCUAUAUGUAUUAAAGCUAGAAUGGUUGGUUUUUGGCAGCGAAUUUUAAAUGGCAAGAAAGAGAAAAUAUCUCGAACAUUGUAUGAUAUGUUGCAUAAACUGAAUGAAGGUGAUGUGUACCAUUCUAAAUGGUUAUUAUAUAUAAAGGAUAUUUUAAUUGAAUGUGGUUAUGGAAAUUAUUGGUAUGACCAAUCUGUA